GGCCGGAUAGCAAAGUGGUAAUGCGAGAGUCUGCAAAACUUUCAUGCGUCGGUUCGAUUCCGUCUCCGGCCUCCA
rnacentral:tRNA from 1 species